AAAGCCUGCAAAAACCCAAAGAGUUCGUGGCGCUGGUGGCUCCAGCUGUUAGUUUCCCGGGCAGUCUCCGGGUUGGAUUUGCACCCUGGGGUCUACACGGGUUAAAAACGCGGAAAAAAGGCGACGAAGAAAUACAAACUGCCAGGGUGUCGAAAUGAAAGGAGCGACUGUGAAAGGGGUAAGGAAAAAUCCAAGCCAUCUCUACGGGGAGGAUCCAGAAAGCACCAGCCGCGCCAGGGGGUCAACCAACUCCGACACCGCUCGGCGUCAGCUGGGCGCCACCAGGCGCGGACUUCGGAGCGAGGGCAGGUGCGCGGGCCGGAAGCCUCGGGCGCUCACCUGGCACCUACCUGGAGCUCACCUGGCGCCCGGGCCCCGCGCCGCCGCCCCCCGCCCAGCCCGCCGCGCCCGCACCUCGCGGUCCUUGAGGCCCAGCAGGAGCACUUCCUCCAUCAGGGUCAGCCGCGUUUCCUUGGAGUCGCCCUUGUCGUCGUCGUCCUGCUCGUCGCGGCGGCUCUGCGCGUCGUCCUCGCUGCUGCCGGCGCCGCCGCCCGCCGCCCGCUCCUUGUCGGCGGCGUUGCGGGAGGCCUCGGUGCGCCGCUGCACCAGGCCGGAGCUGCGCUGGGUCAGCGAGGUCAUGGCUCCCGCCGAGGCGCCGAGCCGGGCCGAGAGGGUCGCAGGACCGACCGGGUCGCCCUCCUCCUCCCCGCGCGGCCUCCGAUCCGGGUUUCCGUGUUAAAUCCGGACGCCGGGGCGACGUCCGUCGGCAGCAGGGCCGGGGGCAGUCAUGAGGAAACAGGUCAGGGCGAAGCGGGCUGGCCGGGCGUCGGCGGGGCAGGAGAGGAGCGCCUUCCUGCCUGUGGCCGCAGUCCCCGAAACACCCCGAGCUCCAAGGCGGAGGCGGCGGCGGCGCCUUUCCAAUAUGGCGGCCCCGGCUGACGUCACCGGAGGAUGUGGCAGAGUCGGCGCGGGAGAGCUGGGCCGGGAGGCGCCGGAAGCGGCGGCCGGGGAUCCGCUGCCACUGCAGCCUACACCCUUCCCGGCCCUCGGUGCUUGUCUUUUCUUUGGCGUUCCUGCGCCCCCUGACCCGCGGUCCUGCAGUCCUGCUCCCGUGACGUGCCCUCCCUCCUUCCGUUCCCCGUUUCCCCUUCACUACCCAGGGCUGGAGCCUGAACCUGGCGGGGCCCCCCGUGAAUGGAAGAGCCUGGGCCACGCGAAGGUGGACCCCACUCAGCCUCCAGCCGUGCCCUCCACGCCCCAGACACCGCCGUCUUCGGAGGCGACUCCGCGGUCGUGUGGACGGGGUCCCAUUUGGACUCCGGGGUCUGCAGGAUCGGCAGGAAGGACUUUGCUCUCUGCUGCUGGGCGGGGAGGGGUACGCUAUCUGCCGGGACUCCCUAACCCUUUAGAAGGAGCAAGUGCGUCCAAAUGGUUUGAAAGUGGACCUUUAUUGUUUUCCAGGAGUAAGAAGAUAGAACAGUUGACCAGUUUUGUUUGUAAAACUUCUUUCCUUGCCUCGGACUUGUGCUAUAAAGUGACCAGGGCGUAGUGAGUACAGUUAGUACCGCACACGUUAGCACGCUCGACCUUAACGAUCUUUUUAUAGAGACAAUAAACCUGCAGCGUUUCAUGCCACGUCUUUGUACGCAUCGGAUGUCUCUCCGUGUAGUUACUAGGUGAAAUCCUCUUGGCGUGCGCAAAUUAGGUUAAAAAAAUAGCUGUCAAACCUGAGACAGGAGUUGGAGGAGUAGAGGGUGGCGCUUGUUAAGUGAAACAUUUAACCAGGAAUGGUAUUGUGUGCCAUCCUGUAUUAAACAAUGUAUGGACAGAGUGGAACAACAGCAAAGCAAAAAAUAAAAAUUUUUUAAAAAAAGUG
rnacentral:lncRNA from 1 species